rnacentral:misc_RNA from 1 species
UACGUAGGGUGCGAGCGUUGUCCGGAAUUAUUGGGCGUAAAGGGCUCGUAGGCGGCGUGUUACGUCUGUCGUGAAAGCUCGGGGCUUAACUCCGGGUUGGCGGUGGAUACGGGCACGCUAGAGUCCGGCAGGGGAGACUGGAAUUCCUGGUGUAGCGGUGAAAUGCGCAGAUAUCAGGAGGAACACCGGUGGCGAAGGCGGGUCUCUGGGCCGGUACUGACGCUGAGGAGCGAAAGCGUGGGGAGCGAACAGG